rnacentral:rRNA from 1 species
AUGAAAUCAUUCAACCAACGAGAAAGUUAUGCACUAAGAAAUAGUGCCAUGUCCAGCGUACUGCGUGUAAGACAUAAAACACAAAUGGAACAGACAUGGUCAAUCGAGAUCCGAAACAGUACAGGAGCACUCAAUAUCUUUAGAAUUACAAGACAAGCUAAUCUGCAACGAGUAUCAAAUUCAAUCUUCAACAUCCGUGAACAUCCGGUGAUUCUUACUCCUACCAGGCUACAUAUUCUACCAAAACCAUGGAAUCCCAUCUCAAAUCCCAGUUUCCUUCAUAUGUCACUUGAACAGCACCAUGUAUGA